GGUUUCUUGGUCUAGUGGUAUGAUUCUCGCUUAGGGAGCACUCUAAGUCACCGUACAUACAGUACAAACCAUGCGAGAGGUCCCGGGUUCGACUCCCGGAGAAACCC